rnacentral:rRNA from 1 species
UGGUUGGACGAAAUAUUAACUGUUUCAUAUAAAUUUUUAUUAGAAUUUUAUUUUUUAGUUAAAAAGCUAAAAUUUAUUUAAAAGACGAGAAGACCCUAUAAAUCUUUAUAUUUAAUAUUUUUAUAUUUUUGUAGAUUUAUUUUAUUAUAAUAAUUAAUAAUAUUUUAUUGGGGUGAUAUUAAAAUUUACAAAACUUUUAAUUUUAAAAAUCAUUAAUUUAUGAAUAUUUGAUCCAUUAUUAGUGAUUAAAAAUUUAAGUUACUUUAGGGAUAACAGCGUAAUUUUUUUGGAGAGUUCUUAUUAAUAAAAAAGAUUGCGACCUCGAUGUUGGAUUAAGAUAUAAUUUUAGGUGUAGUUGCUUAAAUUU